GCGCCUUACCAUGCAGUCGAGCGAGAACCAGGCUUCGGCCUGGGGGAAAGCGGCGAACGGGUGAGUAUCACGUGGGUAAUCUGCCCUCGACAUCGGGAUAGCCCGGGGAAACCCGGAUUAAUACCGGAUGGCCCAUCUGCUCUUCGGAGCGGCUGGAAAAGGUAGCUUCGGCCUCCGGUCGAGGAGGAGCCCGCGGCGGAUUAGCUUGUUGGUGAGGUAAUGGCUCACCAAGGCUCCGAUCCGUAGCUGGUCUGAGAGGACGAUCAGCCACACUGGGACUGAGACACGGCCCAGACUCCUACGGGAGGCAGCAGUGGG
rnacentral:rRNA from 1 species